rnacentral:lncRNA from 1 species
UGUCAUUAAAUCAAAACUGUGGAAAGACCAACGAGAAUACGAUGAUGAGGAGGGCUGGGGAGAAGGACUUGCAGGUUAUUCAUCUUCAGCGACGACCAAGAGUUUGAUGACGACAGUGCAGGAGAGGACAUUGAUGUGCAGUUCAAGCCAAAAUUUCAAAGGAAAUCAACAACAAUCAAUUGUUCUACAAAUCUGCAACCUGUAGCAAACACAAACAACAAUAUGAACCAUAAUGCUCCAUUAUUUGUUCCAAGAAAUACUACAAAAUCAGGUGAAACAUAAGCUGUUGUUGGAAACGCAACAACACUGCCAUCAUCUCCCGAGAAUCAGAUUGUACCAAUAAAGUCCAGCACUACUUUGGAGGAGAGGAAAAUGUCGGAUGCAAUGACUAAUUUUCCUUCUGUCGAUAACAAAACAGUACCAUUUACAUAGUCGGGGUAGAACCAGCUCAUAUCAACAGCCCUAGAAAACACUCUCCUCGACAGACAACUUCUGGAUGCGAGGACAGGAAGACAUAUAUAUGAAGAAGGGGAGGAAGACAAUAUCUUAACGCAAUGUCGGGCAGAUGCGUUAAGAAAAGGUGAUUUGUCACCAAUGCAUAGUAAAACAAGUAAUAAGUCUCGUGAAAGGAACAAAGUUGGGACGGC